CACUAAUGUCUUAUUUUGGGCUGCUAUAACAAAAUACCAUAAUUUAGGUGGCUUAUAAAUAACAGAUCAGGUGCCAGAAUGAUCAGGUUCUGAUGAGGAGCCUCUUCCGGUGCUGACCUCUAGCUCUGUGUUAUAGGCUCACCUGGCAGAGAGCAGAGAGAGGGCACGGCUCGCUGGUAACCCUGACAAGAACAUGAAUCCUGGAUGAGAAGACUUAUCUGGAGCCCUUCUAACCCUAAUUAUUUCCCAAAGGCCCCAUCUUCUAAAACUACCACAUCAUGGGGCAUAAGGUUUUGACAUAGGAACUUUGGGAGGACACAAAUGUUCAGCUCAAAACAACCAGUCACAAAGGCCCUUCACAUCAUGUAAGCACAGACCCCCACGAAACCUGGCUCUAUCCCCAGUGGGAUACAAAUAGAGGAAAGAGCAAUGAAAAGAGGAAACUCAUCAGUGGGAGUUCUCUGCACAGAAGAAAUAGAAGAGAAUGAACAGCUGCCAGUUUAUGCUGAGCUCCCGUGAGAAUCAGAAAAAUCAGAAAGUUCCCUACUUCUGUCUUGAUGGUGCGCCAGGCAGACGACGGUUUGCGCCUGAUUCCUGGCUUGAGGCUGCAGAGUGGACAGAAAAGGACUCUGUCUCCGGUUCAACAGGAACCUCCUUUAGCUUCUCCACCAUGAUGGCUCAGGUCCCCUUAUGACUACCUAGGAGCAGACAACUUCACCCAGUAAGAAUCUGCUUUCUCCUGAAGUCAAUAAAAUCUAGCUUCAUGUAAAGUAUGCUUUUUUUUUUUUCAAUAGUUUGGGUCUAGUCUCAGAGAAAAAUAAUCCUGGC
rnacentral:lncRNA from 1 species